UACGUAGGUGGCGAGCGUUGUCCGGAUUUAUUGGGCGUAAAGAGCUCGUAGGCGGUCUGUCGCGUCGGAUGUGAAAACCCAGGGCUCAACCCUGGGCCUGCAUUCGAUACGGGCAGACUAGAGUACGGCAGGGGAGACUGGAAUUCCUGGUGUAGCGGUGAAAUGCGCAGAUAUCAGGAGGAACACCGGUGGCGAAGGCGGGUCUCUGGGCCGUAACUGACGCUGAGGAGCGAAAGCGUGGGGAGCGAACAGG
rnacentral:rRNA from 1 species